rnacentral:rRNA from 1 species
UACGAAGGGGGCUAGCGUUGUUCGGAAUUAUUGGGCGUAAAGAGCUCGUAGGCGGUUUGUUGCGUCGGCUGUGAAAUCCCGAGGCUCAACCUCGGGUCUGCAGUCGAUACGAGCAAACUAGAGUGUUGCAGGGGAGACUGGAAUUCCUGGUGUAGCGGUGAAAUGCGCAGAUAUCAGGAGGAACACCGGUGGCGAAGGCGGCUUUCUGGACAGGUACUGACGCUGAGACGCGAAAGCGUGGGGAGCAAACGGG